rnacentral:lncRNA from 1 species
UUUAAAACAAUUAAAUAUAAAUAAUCUAAACUAACCUAUUGAUCUUCAAAAGAAAAUUAUAGUCCAGCCUGAAAGAUACUCCUGCAUCUGUCUCUCUUCAGCUGUAUGGAGAAAAUGAACAAUGGAUCAAUAACAACAAAGAAACUAGCCUAAUGCUGAGAGGUCCUGGAUAUACAUGAUAUCGUUAAUCAAUUCAGUGAGUGGUGUGGUAAACUAUUACAUCAGAAUAACUAGAUGAUGCUUAGAAGAAUGUAUACAAUAACACCAGUAUGAUGAUAAAAACAAGGAAAAUAUGGCUCUCACAAGCAGUCUACUCCAGAGACCUGAGUGUUAAAUGGGAUGACACUAAAAUCAUCGACUUGUUGUGUUUUAACGAAUUGAGGUCCAGCUUUUGCGAGAUUUGGAACAUUUACUUCUGUAUCCAGGAUGAAAGGUUAAUUCUAGAGAUGAGGAUUCUAUACCCAGUGCUUGGGAGUUCUUGAUCAAUCAAUAUGCUUACAAAUAUUUACAUUUAUGGCACUUAAAUACUGUAUUUGUUACUGUCCUACCUCAGUUUCGUUUUGCACACUAUUUUUAUUAUUUCGAGUACAACCUAUUUUGUUUUUACUGUGUUGACACUUGGAGUUGACAUUACAAUUUAUACCUGUUUGUACAAAUGUUCCACUUUCUGUUAAUGCUCACUUUCUCUGUGCAGCCAGAGGGGAAGUCCAGCCCGAAAGUGCUCCUGCACCUAUAAUUUUCUUUUAAGAUCCAAU